UACUAGACAUUACGCCAGUUCCAGUUUGGAUCCAGCCUUCAGAAGAUGCUAAGACUUACGAUGACUUCAGAAGAUGCUAACACUCACGAUGACUUCAGAUGAUGACAACUAAAGAUGAACAUACAAGUCUGCCAAAUAUUAUCCUUAUAUUGUGAUCAUUGCCCUAAAAAGGAGGAACUUCUCAACAAAUUCACUUCACAGCGCAUCAAUGGAAGGCUUUCCUAUGUAACAAACACGGUUUUCCAUUCUUGUAUUUAUCCAUGUCAGGUUUUCUGGGAUCCCACUUGAAGACAUCAGAACAUCAGAUGUUGGU